UAAGUUAAUAAUAUAACAUACCUUAUUCUGAAAAACGAGUACUUUUACUUUGACGAGAGCUCCCUCCAGCUGCAUCACAUCUUCUCCUAAUAUGGACGAGCGGUGGACUUCUUUGGAACAACCCCAGCUCCGGACGUGUGUUUGAACUGCUCAUUAUUUACUGUCUUGGAUAAACCAAACAAGAAAGCAUCGCCAACACUAACACAGAAAUGAGAGCGCCCGCUGACACCGAAGCUCACCUCGAAUUUCUGCGCUUCAAACUGGAGCUUCUCGAUGUUCUGGCCUAUUUCUGAUAGCCGGGGGUCUACGCUGGCGGGGUCUCCCAUCUGAGGGUUCUUCACGUACACGUCUUUCAUCUUAGUUAGAGCGUCCCUGGGAGAGCGAGGAGACAGUGUCAUCUAGCUUUCCCUGCAGCUUCUUCCUCCUCUGCUCUGGUGGCAGGUGGCUGAAGUCCUCCGGUCCAGAACCCUGAGACGACAAGAGGGAGGAAGAAACAAUAAGAUGAAGAUUACUUCUCAGUAUCAGGUGCAGUAUCUCUCUUUGCUGUAAACCAGGACUGAAAGGUUAAGUCACCUGCCGGAGAUACUGCACGCUCUAACACACUCACUGAGAGGUGGGAUGUUUGCGUAUACACUCGAAGGCCUUCCACCUAUUCAGCCGCCACGCCUAAUCUAAUGCUUCCCUGAGAUGCAUCAGAAAUGUAAUAAAGUAUUAGCUACAUCCUGUUAUUGCUCACAGAGUGUUGCAGAGCGAGCUGCAUGACGGGGCUGUUCUCUGAAAGGACAGCGUGUUCUUAAAUGGAAGUUGUGUGAGAGAGUGUGUGAGUGAGUGUGUGAGUGUGUGAGUGAGUGAGUGAGUGAGAGGUUUCUUGGCUCAUAUGUCCUGAUGAGAAGGUUUCCAGUCUGUAACUGAAGUGAUGAGUCAGACUGCUCGGCAGCCUCUCACAUGCAUCUUUCUGUCUGUGUGGAGCCUCCAAGAGUUCAAACUCAAGUCGAUGCAAAGUUGUGAAAUAUAAUCAAUAAAGUAAAAUAUUAAAUUAUGACAUGUAUUUAUAUUAACAGAGAUCAUUCUUAUUAUAUUAUAGUUUUGAUCUCAAAAUGUGUGUGCAUUCAACAAAGUCACGUUUAUUUAAAGGGACAGUUCACCCCUCUCACCUGUAGUGAGUUAUUUAUUCAUCUACAUUGUUUGGGUGCAACUCGUCCACAGAUUGUGUUGUGAGAAGUCGGAACUAUUUUCUUGACCGUAUCACAGCUUUUUCCUUUCACAAUACAUUGUUCUUAUGCCUUCGUCUGUUUUAUUUCUAUCGUUUACAUGUUCUAUUGCUCUGAUACCUGUUCUUGCUAUUUGCUGCCUUUCUUUGUUAUUCCUUUGAUUGCUUUCUUUGUGCUGUUUAUGCUUUAGCACUUUGAAGUACAACGUGCACUGACUGAAUAGGUCUGGGCCUGAUUGGAUCUUAUUGAGACGGGUCACAGCGGCACCACAGGGGGGGGGGGGGGGAGCUACGGACUUCACUGCACGUGAAGCCGGGUCAAAACCACACAAACAGCUCCCUGUAUCAGCGCACAACACUUACCAGGCAUGCAACACAACACAGAUCACAUCUAUCAGCAUGCAGACACAUGCUCAUGUGUGUUAGUGUUCACAGUCUCUAUGCACCGCAAGACAAACUAAAACACUUGUGUAGGUAAAGUGUAAACACCAAACUACAGCUCAACUACAGACGCUAGGAACUACAGAAAGAGAUUUAUAAAACAUAUUAGGUAGAGGAUGUUGAGAUAAAGUCCUCUUAGUUCUGCAUUAAUGUGCUUAUUUGAUGCAUGAUAUUUGCGCUUAGCUUAGCUUAGCAUAAAGACUGGAAGCAGCAUGCAUAUGCUAAGUUAUGCUACAUAAACUGUUGGACAUAUUAUAAUACAUUUGCA